GUGAGGAAUAUUGCGCAAUGGAGGCAACUCUGACGCAGCCAUGCCGCGUGCAGGAAGAAGGCGCUACGCGUUGUAAACUGCUUUUAACCGGGAAGAAACCCCAGGACGUGUCCUGGGUUGACGGUACCGGAGGAAUAAGCACCGGCUAACUUCGUACCAGCAGCCGCGGUAAUACGAAGGGUGCAAGCGUUAUCCGGAUUCAUUGGGUUUAAAGGGUGCGUAGGCGGAGCGUUAAGUCAGUUGUGAAAUCCUGCAGCUUAACUGUAGACUUGCCAUUGAUACUGGCGCUCUUGAGUGCGCUUAAAGUGGGCGGAAUGUGCCGUGUAGCGGGGAAAUGCUUAGAUAUGGCACAGAACACCAAUUGCGAAGGCAGCUCACUAAGGCGAUACUGACGCUGAGGCACGAGAGCGUGGGGAUCGAACAGGAUUAGAAACCCGUGUAGUCC
rnacentral:rRNA from 1 species